AAACAGACAGAAGGGAAAAUAGACACACAAACGCACAAACUAACAAAACUAUAUACAGCGAUAUAGAGAAAAAUAAAUUCUUACUAGUUUGCCCAUAUGUUCAUGUUAUUCCUACAGCCUCUGUCACUGUUUUGGGAUCAGGAAUGAGGUUUUAGAAAGACGAUCAGGAAUCAAAUCCACUAAAAUCAACAUCAGCCAUCAGAGUAUCAUGUUAUAUAAGGCCUCUGGGCCGAGUUGAAGGAGAGCCGUGUCAGUGCUCUUGCUGUAUUUGUGUUGUUUGUAGUCUUCUGAAGCUGCUGCCAGUGGUCAAAGCCUCCAGAACAGCUGAGCUGUGUGAGUGUAAUCUGACAGAGGAAAGCUGUAGAGUUCUGUCCUCAGUUCUCAGCUCAAACUCCUCCAGUCUGAGAGAACUGGACCUGAGUCACAAUAAACUGCAGGAUUCAGGAAUGAAGCUGCUCUCUGCUGGACUGGAGAAUCCAGACUGUACACUGGAGACACUGUGGCACACACACACACACACACACACACACACACAGAAAGAGAGAGAGAGAGGGGGCACAGAGUUUUAAUACACACACGCACAUACACAAUUUUAUUAAAUGCAGCAAUAUCUAGUUUUUGUAGUAACUGUAAUAGUAGUGAUCAGAUAUAUUUCCAUUGGUUUGUGUGUGAGAUGGAGAGUAAAUGUACUGUAUAUAAAGAUUUUGUGUAGUUCAUGUUUUCAAUGCUAAAACUGAGUGUGUUAAGUGUGAGAAGGUUUUCUUUCUUGCAGGAUGAGUUACUGCCGUAUUACAGAUGAAGGUUGUGCUGCUCUGGCUUCAGCUCUGAGGUCAAACUCCUCAUCACACCUGAGAGAACUGAAUCUGUACUAUAAUAAUCCAGGAGAAUCAGGAGUGAAGCUGCUCACUGAUCUACUGAAGGAUCCACACUGUAACCUGAAGAAACUACACAUAAAGUAUGAUAAACUCACCAGGACUGGCGUAUGACAGGAGUCUCACCUCAAAGCUCUUUUCCAGGAUAAAGCAGUUUUGGUGAAGCGUUAGAACCCGUCCCACAUUUCCAGCAGUUUGCGAGCUGAAUCAUUCAUAUUCACAUGUAGAAGUUCCAUAACAAUAACCGUGACUGAUCACAUCCUUUUAUCCACUCAGCUACAAGUUACUUCAGGCUUUAAUAACAUAUUUUACAAUCCAAAGUCAAAUCCUUCAGCAUCUACACACAACACAGAGAUAUCAUCACAUCAUCACACUGAUUACACAAAUACACAUCCAUGUGUUGUAGCUGUUUAUAGCUUAUUUUUAGCUCCUUAUUUCUAUCUGACAUUUGUUUCUCCACUGAUGAUUGAUUCACAGUUGUGAUAUUGAUAUAUAUUUUUUCCUCUUAAAAUGAUUUUCAGACCUCUGUUCUUUGUUUGCUAAUCUGUGAUUAAUGGUAACCAUGGUAACAGGUGGUUGCUUGAUUUGUUGUUAUAGUGAUAAAUUGACCUCACUUCUAUCUGACUGGUUCCUUGGGUCCAGACCAGCAGGGUUCUUUUCCCAGACUUGAAUAGUUUUUGCUGAACAAUACCUAGAUAUUUUCUGGUGAAAAAGUACAGAACAGUUCCAGCACUGGUACCUUAUUUCAGUACAAAAACAUACACAUUAUCUGAUUCUACAUGAAAAUAUGUUUUGAGUUCAAAAUGUAAGCUCACAUAACUGAGCAUGACAUCACUUCCUGUACACAUGACUACAAUGAACAACUGAAGCUGAAGAAUGUAGAAGCAGCUGAAAUGUUAUGAUAUCAGAUUGUACUGAUUUUUUCAUCACAGAGAGUCUCAUGAAGAACAGAAGCGUGAAAUAAAACUCUGCCUUCCUUCCUGCUAAUAAUCAUUAUGAUGAUGUAAAGAGAUUAAUAAUGUUCUUCUCUGGUGAUCAGUUCACACCAUGCCAGGAUUCAUUAUUCUGUAAUCUCACACCAGCUAAUUACAGUAAACACGUA